rnacentral:rRNA from 1 species
AUUGAACGCUGGCGGCGUGCCUCAGACAUGCAAGUCGAACGAUUAAAGCUCUCUUCGGAGAGUGCAUAGAGUGGCGCACGGGUGAGUAACACGUAAGUAAUCUACCUUCGAGUGGGGAAUAACGUCCGGAAACGGGCGCUAAUACCGCAUAAUGCAGCGGCAUCGCAAGAUGACAGUUGUUAAAGGAGCAAUCCGCUUGAAGAGGAGCUUGCGGCAGAUUAGCUAGUUGGUAGGGUAAUGGCCUACCAAGGCUACGAUCUGUAACCGGUCUUAGAGGACGGUCGGUCACACUGACACUGAAUAACGGGUCAGACUCCUACGGGAGGCAGCAGUCGGGAAUUUUGGGCAAUGGGGGAAACCCUGACCCAGCAACGCCGCGUGAAGGAUGAAGUAUUUCGGUAUGUAAACUUCGAAAGAAUAGGAAGAAUUAAUGACGGUACUAUUUAUAAGGUCCGGCUAACUACGUG